CCCUUAGAUGUUCUGGGCCGCACGCGUGCUACACUGAGUGGAUCAGCGGGUCAGGUUGCGCGAAAGUGUUUCCUAAUCUUUAAAUCCGCUCGUGAUGGGGAUUGACGGUUGCAAUUUUCCGUCAUGAACGAGGAAUACCUUGUAAGCGCGGGUCAUCAUCCCGCGCUGAAUACGUCCCUGCCCUUUGUACACAUCGCCCGUCGCUCCUACCGAUUGAGUGGUCCGGUGAGGCUUUGGGAUCUGGGCGGAAAGAGCGUUUCGCUGUUUCUGCCCGGAAAACUCAGUCGAACCUUAUCAUUUAGAGGAAGGAGAAGUCGUAACA
rnacentral:rRNA from 1 species